rnacentral:tRNA from 1 species
GGGGUUGUGGCUCAGUGGUAGAGCAUUCACCUCACACGUGUAAGCCCAGGGUUCGAUCCUCAGCACCACA